AACGAACGCUGGCGGCAUGCCUAACACAUGCAAGUCGAACGAUAUCUUCGUGUCUAGUGGCGCACGGGUGCGUAACGCGUGGAAAUCUGCACUUUGGUUUGGAAUAACAGUUGGAAACGACUGCUAAUCCCGGAGGAUGACGAAAUUACAAAGAUUUAUCGCCAGAAGAUGAGCCCGCGUAGGAUUAGCUAGUUGGUGUGGUAAAGGCGCACCAAGGCGUCGAUGCUUAGCUGGUCAGAAAGGAGGAUCAGCCACACUGGGACUGAGACACGGCCCAGAAACCUACGGGAGGCAGCAGUGGGGAAUAUUGGACAAUGGGCGAAAGCCUGAUCCAGCAAUGCCGCGUGAGUGAUGAAGGCCUUAGGGUUGUAAAGCGCUUAGACCUGGGAUGAUAAUGACAGUACCGGGAGAAUAAGCUCCGGCUAACUCCGUGCCAGCAGCCGCGGUAA
rnacentral:rRNA from 1 species